AGGAUGAACGCUAGCGGCAGGCCUAAUACAUGCAAGCUGAACGGCAAGAUUUGUAGCAAUACGAGUCCUAGAGUAGCGUAAGGGUGCGUAACACGUAUGCAAUCGUGCCCGCAACGAGGAGGAUAGCUUAGCGAAAGUUGAGAUAAGACUCCAUAAGAUCACGAGAGGGCAUCUGAUUGUGAUUAAACUACGAAGGGGUUGCGGAUGAGCAUGCGUCUGAUUAGUUAGUUGGCGGGGUAACGCCCACCAAGACGAUGAUCAGGUAGGGGAACUGAGAGGUU
rnacentral:rRNA from 1 species